rnacentral:rRNA from 1 species
CCUACGGGUGGCAGCAGUGGGGAAUAUUGCACAAUGGGGGAAACCCUGAUGCAGCGACGCCGCGUGAGUGAAGAAGUAAUUCGUUAUGUAAAGCCCUAUCAGCAGGGAAGAAAAUGACGGUACCUGAGUCAGAAGCCCCGGCUAACUACGUGCCAGGAGCCGCGGUAAUACGUCGGGGGCCAGCGUUAUCCGGAUUUACUGGGUGUAAAGGGAGCGUAGACGGGAGUGCAAGUCUGGAGGGAAAGGCGGGGGCCCAACCCCCGGACUGCUCUGGAAACUGUACGGCUGGAGUGCAGGAGAGGUAAGCGGAAUGCCUAGUGUAGCGGUGAAAUGCGUAGAUAUUAGGCGGAACACCAGUGGCGAAGGCGGCUUACUGGACUGUAACUGACGUUGAGGCUCGAAAGCGUGGGGAGCAAACAGGAUUAGAUACCCCGGUAGUC